rnacentral:rRNA from 1 species
GACGAACGCUGGCGGCGUGCUUAACACAUGCAAGUCGAACGAUGAAGCUAGAGCUUGCUCUGGUGAAUUAGUGGCGAACGGGUGAGUAACACGUGAGUAACCUGCCCCGAACUCUGGGAUAACUGCUGGAAACGGUAGCUAAUACUGGAUACGACCUACGAAGGCAUCUUCUGUAGGUGGAAAGAAUUUCGGUUCGGGAUGGACUCGCGGCCUAUCAGCUUGUUGGUGAGGGUAAUGGCUCACCAAGGCGACGACGGGUAGCCGGCCUGAGAGGUGACCGGCCACACUGGGACUGAGACACGGCCCAGACUCCUACGGGAGGCAGCAGUGGGGAAUAUUGCACAAUGGGCGCAAGCCUGAUGCAGCAACGCCGCGUGAGGGAUGAC